AGGAUCACUAGGGCAGAGACUUGUGUGAUGAUUGAACAGCAGUACGUCUUUGUGUGCAGGUGGGAUGCCACCUUUGAAGGGCUGCUCAGUGUCCUGGGACUCUGGUUUCUCUUGUCAUGUGUCAGAGAACAGAAAUGACCAAGAGAAAAUGCAUGGAUUGUGUGCUUCACAUAUACUAUGGAACUCUGGGAAGCAUGCUUCUAAAAACUCAAAAAGAAUAAGCUCUGUGCUUGAAAGUGUGUCCAUAAACGAAGCAUGGCUGGAUGGAGUUUCUGGUGACGGGAAUUAACACCAGAACAAAGACCUGUCCAAGAUGAAGCAUUACUUCCUCUAUCCUGUGCCCACCCCUUGCAUCAAACCUGAACAAACAGGGUGAAGAACUGAAAUCUUCC